GAUGAACGCUGGCGGCGUGCCUAAUACAUGCAAGUCGAGCGAACGGACGAGAAGCUUGCUUCCCUGAUGUUAGCGGCGGACGGGUGAGUAACAUGUGGAUAACCUACCUAUAAGACUGGGAUAACUUCGUGAAACCGGUGCUAAUAACGGAUAAUAUUUUGAACCGCAUGAUUCAAGAGUGAAAGACGGUCUUGCUGUCACUUAUAGCUGGAUCCGCGCUGCAUUAGCUAGUUGGUAAGGUAACGGCUUACCAAGGCGACGAUGCAUAGCCGACCUGAGAGGGUGAUCGGCCACACUGGAACUGAGACACGGUCCAGACUCCUACGGGAGGCAGCAGUAGGGAAUCUUCCGCAAUGGGCGAAAGCCUGACGGAGCAACGCCGCGUGAGUGAUGAAGGUCUUCGGAUCGUAAAGCUCUGUUAUUAGGGAAGAACAUAUGUGUGAGUAACUGUGCACAUAUUGACGGUACCUAAACAGAAAGCCCCGGCUAACUACGUG
rnacentral:rRNA from 1 species